rnacentral:rRNA from 1 species
GACGAACGCUGGCGGCGUGCCUAAUACAUGCAAGUAGAACGCAGUUGCGAACGGGUGAGUAAAGCGUAGGUAACCUGCCUCAUAGCGGGGGGUAACUAUUGGAAACGAUAGCUAAUACCGCAUACUGUGAUAUGGACCUGCGUUGGAUUAGCUAGUUGGGGAGGUAAAGGCUCACCAAGGCGACGAUACAUAGCCGACCUGGGAGGGUGAUCGGCCACACUGGGACUGAGAUACGGCCCAGACUCCUACGGGAGGCAGCAGUGGGGAAUAUUGCACAAUGGGCGCAAGCCUGAUGAAGCCAAGCCGCGUGUAUGAAGAAGGCUUUCGGGUUGUAAAGUACUUUCAGCGGGGAGCGUUAUCCGCAGAAGAAGCACCGGCUAACUCCGUGCCAGCAGCCGCGGUAAUUC